UACGUAGGGUCCGAGCGUUGUCCGGAGUUACUGGGCGUAAAGCGCGCGCAGGCGGCGGUGUUGGCCCGGCGUGAAAGCCCCCGGCUCAACCGGGGAGAGUCGUCGGGGACCGCACCGCUUGAGGGCGGUAGGGGCUGGUGGAAUGCCUGGUGUAGUGGUGAAAUGCGUAGAGAUCAGGCAGAACACCUGGGGCGAAGGCGGCUUUCUGGGACGGUACUGACGCUGAGACGCGAAAGCGUGGGGAGCGAACAGG
rnacentral:rRNA from 1 species